CGUUGUUUGGAUUACUCCUCUUCCUAUUUACUAUCUCUGUUUACUCCUUUUUGGACCGGAACCGGGAUAUUCUCUCUCCUUUUUCCUAUCGCCGGUGACGGUGACGGUGACGGUGGGUCAUAUUUCUCCUAUAUAUAUAUAUCGUCCUUGUUUUGCUUCACCAUCGAGACUUCGCUCAAGUUCAACCAUCACAAUUCCAACGGUUCAUUUCUCUUCUUAAAUUUCUAGGGUUUCGAUCCUGUUUCCUGCAUUUACAUUCCAACUCUUGUUGCACACUAGCGCUAUAAUACAACCUCUGCUCAUCAUUUAUCGGCUUCGUUUUCUCGCUCGAGCUGGAAUUGCUUUUCGAUCUAACUUCGUUUCGUAGGGUUUGUACUUGGUUAACGCGCUUUUUUAUUCUUCGAUUAAGCAAUUUGGUAGGAUUCGGUUCUUCAUGCGUUUAGGGUUUCAGAAACGAAAUUGUCGUUUGUUGCUUUAGGGGAUUAGUUUUUUUUUUUUCGGAAUUUAGGGUUAUAGGUAUAUCUAUGGCGGCUGGUAGACAUGGAGGUUAUCGUGAGAACGAGUUUAGGGACCGUGAGUCGAAUUUUGAUGUUUCAAGGCGGGUUAUUAAUGAUAGUUCUAAACAGGAGUAUGAUAGGGUGAGGAAUGGUAGCCACGGUGUUGCAAGGGGUGUGAGCAGGGAUGCAAGAGAUGGAAUUAGACUGAGAGAGAAAGAUAUUAGGGUGAGGGAAGCUGCAAAUGGCAGUUAUCGUUCAUCUUCGAGUAAGAGUGACUCGGGCGGUAGUGGCGGUUGUAGUAGCGGGCUUGGUCCCAAACGAUGUGGGUUUUCUGUUAAGGCUAUGGAUAAAGAGCCAGGUGAGCUUUCUAGUGAAAGUGGGUCUGAUGAUGGUAUUGACUCAGGAUCACAGGAAAAAUACUGCGAGGGGUUUGGAACAGGUGGAGGAAAUGGGGGACAAUCUCUGCUAGAGAGGAAAAGAAAAUUUUCACCAAUAGUAUGGGAUCAGGACGAGAGGGAAGUCAAUUUAUUCAAACAUAGGGUUGUAACAGCUGUAACUACUCUGCCUCUCUCACCUCCACUUGCAAGAGUCCAACAGUCACCUAAUGUUGUUGGAACUCAUCCUGUCAAAAAUACAGAAGCUGAGAUUCUCGAGUUACCAACUGUAACUAAUCCUCCUUUGCUGUCUGAGUCAGACGAGGAUGAUGAGUCUGAAUCUCCUGUAGGUUUGCAUUCAUUUGUGCUUGAUCAGAGACGGGGUAACGAGCAGGAAGGCAAGCAACCUGAAAGUGAAGAUUAUAUUCCAACUCGUAAUAUAUCAUCUUCUAGAUGGGCAGCUGGAGACAACUCUUCUAGUGAUGAAGGUGAAAUCACUGAUGACAAGGAAAUUCUUAAGAGGAGGAAGCUAUCUCCUGAUCUGGGUAUGAGAAUAAGAAACAAGGUGUCGAGACUGGAGGAAUGUAAAAUAGAAGAGUUUGUAGGAGCUAGAGCCAAAUCAUCCGAAUCUGAAGAAAGAGGUAGCCGUGGGAGAUCGUCCAGUGGUGAUGAUCAUCCUAGUAUUGAGUCGGGUAAAGAUGAUUAUAUGGAGAUUGAUGGUCAAGGUAGCAGAAGUGAAACUAGUGGUUAUCAUUCAGAUACAGAUUCUGAAGAUGAUAGCAGAGGAACUCCUGACCGCCUGUUUCCGCUUCAAAGAGCUGUCAACAUGCUUCAGGGGUGUAGAAGUGUUGAUGAGUUUGAGAGACUGAACAGGAUAGAUGAAGGGACAUAUGGUGUUGUUUUUAGGGCCAAAGAUAAGAAAAGUGGCAAAGUUGUGGCAUUGAAAAAGGUGAAGAUGGAGAAGGAAAAAGAAGGUUUUCCACUUACUUCUCUUAGGGAAAUAAACAUUCUUCUUUCCUUUCACCAUCCAUCCAUAGUUGAUGUUAAAGAAGUAGUGGUAGGAAGUAACCUUGAUAGUAUUUUCAUGGUUAUGGAAUACAUGGAACAUGAUCUUAAAGGACUAAUGGAGGCAAUGAAGCAGCCAUUUAGCCAGAGUGAAGUAAAAUGCUUAAUGCUCCAGCUUUUAGAAGGUGUGAAGUACCUUCAUGACAACUGGGUGCUUCAUAGGGAUUUGAAGACUUCAAACCUGCUUCUGAAUAAUAGAGGUGAACUAAAAAUUUGUGAUUUUGGAUUGGCUCGUCAGUAUGGGAGCCCAUUGAAACCAUAUACACACCUGGUGGUUACUCUUUGGUACAGGGCGCCUGAACUUCUUUUGGGGACAAAACAGUAUUCAACAGCUAUUGACAUGUGGUCUCUGGGUUGUAUAAUGGCUGAGCUAUUGUCCAAGGAACCACUGUUUAAUGGGAAGACUGAAUUUGAACAAAUUGAUAAGAUUUUCAGAAUUCUUGGCACACCAAAUGAAACAAUUUGGCCUGGGUUCUCAGAAUUACCUCGAGUCAAGGUCAAAUUUGUCAAGAAUCAGCUUCCAACUCUGGGUGGUUCUGGUAUAAUCUCCUGCGUAAAAAGUUCCCUGCAACAUCAUUCACUGGAUCACCAGUUCUUUCUGAUUCUGGAUUUGAUUUGUUGAACAAGCUUCUUACUUAUGACCCUGAAAAGCGGAUCACGGCUGAAGAAGCUCUAAACCAUGAGUGGUUUCGUGAAGUUCCCCUUCCGAAGUCUAAAGAAUUUAUGCCUACAUUCCCUGCUCAAAAUGCUCAAGACAGGCGAAUGAGGAGAAUAUUAAAGAGCCCAGAUCCAUUAGCUGAGCAGCACCGGAAGGAGAUGCUGCAGGGUGAAUCAGGGACUGGUGGUAUUUUUGGUUAAGAAUGGUGCAAUUUUAUUUUUUGUUCACAAUAAUCAUUCUAACAUGCCCUGCUGAAUAUUUGCACGCAUGAGGUUAGUGUAAGUGCUGAAUGGAAGUUGCUAAUUUUGAUUGUUAGACAAUCACUCGUGCAGUUUUUUAUAAGGCACUUCUUGUUGGUUUUUGUCGAGAUAUAUAUUCUUUACUUCCUUGGAACCAGAUUUAUUUCAGGUUAACCUUCUUCACGCUUGAUCAUUAUAGUGAAAUACUGAUGCACAUGGGGCACAGCUUUUACAUAAAGUGUGGCAUACUUGCCUUCUGAAAAUUGGAAUAGUCCGCAUCUGCUGGAAAUUGUAAUUGUAACAUAUUUUCAUUGACUGCCAUACUGUAAACUGGUCGAGUAUUAAAGCAACUUGGAUUUUCCUGUGACUAGAAGUUCUUUUGCUUUUUUUAAUGUUCCUAUUGUGUUUGCAAGAGACAGUUCACAAGAUGUGGAAGAGUGCAUUCUGUCCAUUUUGUUGAAGAAAAUGACAGUAACUUUCUACUCCCAAGUAUCAAAGCUAGCAUGUUGAGGAUGUUACCUGUAUUCCUGGAAUAUAUAGAACUUUGUUCCAUCAGGCUCUCUAGAGAUUGAAGGUUGUAUUACGUACCAUAGGCUUGCCUCUUGUGAUGUGAGGUCAUACACGAAGCCAAGAGCGCGUUUGAAGGCGUCCCGAGGUGAUCCAAUGACUCUAGAUCACUUUCCGAGUAAUUCAAAGAUAUUGAGUUCAAAUGGUUUGAAGCCUCCAAGCUUCCUGUACUAGAACAAUAUCUCAGUUUAGAUGCUUCAGAAGUGCAUGUUACCAGCGCAUGCCACCUGCUUGCAAGUGAGACAAUGCCUUGAGCUCUGUGUGAAAUCUUUGUUGCUGCAUGCAGACAAAUAAUUAUUCCAGCCACCUGAACAAGUGUGGAAACCUGAAACAAUGGACACGAAAAAAGAAAUGGAAUCCAAAACUAAGAUCCAUAUUUUGAAGCUCGAAAAAAGUUAAAAUUAAUGUUUAGUUACUCAAUUUGAUCUC